rnacentral:snRNA from 8 species
AUCGCUUCUCGGCCUUUUGGCUCAGAUCAAGUGUAGUAUCUGUUCUUAUCAGUUUAAUAUCUGAUACGUCCCCCAUCGGGGGACUACAUAUUAAAUGGAUUUUUCGAACAGGGAGUCGGAAAUGGGGCUUGCUCCGUCCGCUCCACGCAUCGACCCGGUAUUGCAGUACCUUCCGGGAACGGGGCAACACUU